rnacentral:rRNA from 1 species
AGCUUGCUUCUUUGCUGGCGACCGGCGCACGGGUGAGUAACACGUAUCCAACCUACCCUUUACUCGGGGAUAGCCUUUCGAAAGAAAGAUUAAUACCCGAUAGCAUAAUGAUUCCGCAUGGUUUCAUUAUUAAAGGAUUCCGGUAAAGGAUGGGGAUGCGUUCCAUUAGGUUGUUGGCGGGGUAACGGCCCACCAAGCCUUCGAUGGAUAGGGGUUCUGAGAGGAAGGUCCCCCCACAUUGGAACUGAGACACGGUCCAAACUCCUACGGGAGGCAGCAUG